GCUCUGGAUGUGCAUUAAAGCCUCUCACCGCAGGGCGUUGUUUUUGUUUCGAUUAACUCAAUUGUGUGCCAGCGAAAGACUGGGCUGGAUCGACAGCUCUGGAGACAGAGGGCCCAUCUUUAUUCCACCAAACAGCCACCCAAACUGGGCACAGGAUUCCAGGAGCAGUUGCACCAGUGCCAAAUUCAGAGCUUGCUCAGUGACCUGUACUCUUCAUUAUUUACCACUUGGCCACACCCCAAGACUUCAGUAAAGUCACAAGGCAGUUAUUUUCUUCUAAUACUGAACAAGGAACUUUACUGGAAUAAGGAAAACAAUGGGCUUGUCUUCACUGCAAUGGCCAUCUUGAGCAACUCCUCUCCACCUAGCCUUGCAAAACACUGAAGGUGCCCAGCGGGACUAGAUUAGUAGUUGGUGAGUUGUGCUAACUCCAGCUGUAGCUGCAUCUGUGAUGUUGCACUCUAUGUGAUUUUAUGAAAAUAUGCUAAUGAGUGUGAAUAUAAUGUAACUGGAAUAUGCUUCAUGCAAAAGGUCUCUUGUAAGGUAUAAUUACAAA